CACGUAGGGCGCGAGCGUUGUCCGGAAUUAUUGGGCGUAAAGAGCUCGUAGGCGGCCUGUUGCGUCCGCUGUGAAAGCCCGGGGCUUAACCCCGGGUCGGCAGUGGAUACGGGCAGGCUAGAGGUAGGUAGGGGAGAAUGGAAUUCCCGGUGUAGCGGUGAAAUGCGCAGAUAUCGGGAGGAACACCAGUGGCGAAGGCGAUCAUCUGGGACUAACCUGACGCUGAGGAGCGAAAGCCAGGGGAGCAAACGGG
rnacentral:rRNA from 1 species